rnacentral:rRNA from 1 species
GUGUCAGCAGCCGCGGUAAUACGUAGGGCGCAAGCGUUGUCCGGAAUUAUUGGGCGUAAAGAGCUCGUAGGCGGUUUGUCGCGUCGGGUGUGAAAGCUCAGGGCUCAACCCUGAGUCUGCAUCCGAUACGGGCAGACUAGAGGCAGGUAGGGGAGAACGGAAUUCCUGGUGUAGCGGUGAAAUGCGCAGAUAUCAGGAGGAACACCGGUGGCGAAGGCGGUUCUCUGGGCCUGUACUGACGCUGAGGAGCGAAAGCGUGGGGAGCGAACAGGAUUAGAUACCCCAGUAGUCC